GUCGAACGCUGGCGGCGUGCUUAACACAUGCAAGUCGAACGAAGUGGCGAACGGGUGAGUAACGCGUAAUCAACCUGCCCUUCAGAGGGGGACAACAGUUGGAAACAACUGCUAAUGCUCUAUAGUGUAGGAUGAGGCUAUAUUGUAUCAGCUAGUUGGUGAGGUAAAGGCGCACCCAGGCGAUGACGACUAACUAGUCUGAGAGGAUGAUUUGUCAACCUGGAACUGAGGAACGGGCCAGACUCCUACGGGAGGGAGCAGUAGGGAAUAAUACUCAAUGGGGGAAACCCUGAAGCAGCAACGCCGCGUGGAAGAUGACAAUUUGCGGAGCGUAAACUUCUUUUGUUAGGGAAGCGGUACCUAACCAAUAAGCACCGGCUAACUCCGUGCCAGCAGCCGCGGUAAUAC
rnacentral:rRNA from 1 species